GUAUUGUAUUGCGUUAAACGCGACAUGCAUUCCAUGAGACUUUGUUACGGUGUGUGUGUAAAGAAGCAGAACCACAGCGGGAGGACAGGCCCCCCCGACCAUAGAACUACAGAGGGUGCACAUGGUGUGAGUGGAUGUGUGAACAGAGCGUGCACAUGUCCCCUUGUUUGAGGACCAGCAACAACUCUUGUUGACAAUUCGGUAAUGAUCCUUCCGCAGGUUCACCUACGGAAA
rnacentral:misc_RNA from 1 species